rnacentral:piRNA from 1 species
UGAAUCUGGACCCCAAAUUUC